CACUGAGUCCUAAACAUAUAAGAUUCUACACCAGCCAUCAGAUCAGAUAGGAACCUCUAAUGUGUGACCCCGCAGGUUCGAACCUAAGCCGGUAGCACAGGAACCAAUUCCUGUACUAAUCGAAGUGACCAUCUAGCAAUGGUACUCGACAUUCGGAUAGGUCGAAGAGUCACAAUCGCAAUACUCAGAACCUACAUGAAUAUGGUUACUGUAUAAUUCAUCCUUUUGACCCCUGUGUUUAGGAUGACUCAGGGUUAAACUAUCAACCCUGAUCAGAUCAUCCGAAUCGUGCUCAACUCAAACAGUCCUGUGACUCCUCACAAGGACUACCCUGGCCAAGGUUUUGCUAAAUUAAAAUAUGACUGUACAUAGCUCCUAAACUAGAGUGGUCAAUCCUAUCUUGACACACGCACUGACAAGUCAAGUACUUGACUACACCCAGCAGCCUUCCGUCACUGAAUUAAAAAUUCAGGUAGUCUAGUGCCUAAGUGCAGUGAGUUGCUUGCAAGUCACUGUGGCGGUCUUAGGUCGGAGGGAUAUUUAUACCCAUAUUCCAUCAGAGCAAAUCUUGACAGCAGAAAUAGCUCCAG
rnacentral:lncRNA from 1 species